rnacentral:rRNA from 1 species
CUGAUGCAGCCAUGCCGCGUGUGUGAAGAAGGCCUUCGGGUUGUAAAGCACUUUCAGCGAGGAGGAAAGGUUGAUACCUAAUACGUAUCAGCUGUGACGUUACUCGCAGAAGAAGCACCGGCUAACUCCGUGCCAGCAGCCGCGGUAAUAC